GAAGACCAGCUGCUGAUGGCUUUAAUUUAACGCAAAGUAGCCACUGCUACAAUGUUGAUUCAGCAACCAAAAGAACUUGAAAUGCACCCGUGUGAUCCAUGGGCUGAGGCUACCAUGAAGAACUCUCCUUCUCAACCACACCCUCUUCUGAGGCAUGAUGACCCUCAGUUGUCUCUCUACAAACCACUACCAACUAUCUCUCUAUAAUGAAAGAACAGCCCUAUUGUCUGGCCUCAGAAAAAAAAUUCAGCUUGAAUGCAUUACCGGUGUCAUCUUCCCAGAGCCUCUCAAUGCAGACAAUGUGAGGGAGGAGGUUU